GGCUGGUCUGAAGGUAGUGAGUUAUCUCAACUGACUGUUUAGUUACAGUUGGAACUCCUUGUUCUACCAUUUCCCCCCUUCUCACUACCUGCACUUGACUAGUCCAAA
ensembl:misc_RNA Y_RNA Y RNA